UACGGAGGGAGCUAGCGUUAUUCGGAAUUACUGGGCGUAAAGCGCACGUAGGCGGCUUUGUAAGUAAGAGGUGAAAGCCUGGAGCUCAACUCCAGAAUUGCCUUUUAGACUGCAUCGCUUGAAUCAUGGAGAGGUGAGUGGAAUUCCGAGUGUAGAGGUGAAAUUCGUUAGAUAUUCGCAAGAACACCAGUGGCGAAGGCGGCUCACUGGCCCGGUACUGACGCUGAGGUGCGAAAGCGUGGGGAGCGAACAGG
rnacentral:rRNA from 1 species